rnacentral:rRNA from 1 species
AUCGAACGCUGGCGGCAGGCCUAACACAUGCAAGUCGAGCGAGCGGCGGACGGGUGAGUAAGGUAUGGGGAUCUGCCUAAUGUAGGGGGCUAACUGCUGGAAACGUUAGAUAAUACCGCAUAACAUCAUAUCAACCCAUAUGGGAUUAGGUUGUCGGUGGGGUAACGGCUCACCUAGGCGACGAUCCCUAGCUGGGCUGAGAGGAUGAUCAGCCACACUGGGACUGAGACACGGCCCAGACUCCUACGGGAGGCAGCAGUGGGGAAUAUUGCACAAUGGGCGCAAGCCUGAUGCAGCCAUGCCGCGUGUAUGAAGAAGGCCUUCGGGUUGUAAAGUACUUUCAGUAGGGAGGCGUUACCGACAGAAGAAGCACCGGCUAACUACGUGCCAGCAGCCGCGGUAAUAC